rnacentral:rRNA from 1 species
UACGAAGGGGGCUAGCGUUGCUCGGAAUCACUGGGCGUAAAGCGUGCGUAGGCGGUUCGUUGUGUCUGUGGUGAAAGCCCCGGGCUUAACCUGGGAAUGGCCAUGGAAACUGGCGAGCUGGAGUGUGGCAGAGGGGGGUGGAAUUCCGCGUGUAGCAGUGAAAUGCGUAGAGAUGCGGAGGAACACCGAUGGCGAAGGCAGCCCCCUGGGCUAACACUGACGCUGAGGCACGAAAGCGUGGGGAGCAAACAGG